AGAGCGGGGAGAACGCGGCCAACAUCGCCAUCGAGUUGGCCAGGCACACGCGAGGCCCGGUUUAUGCGGGCGAUGUCAGCUCCGCUGUGCGGCUGCUGGAGCAGCUGCUGGACAUCCUGGAUGCUCAGCUGCAGGCGUUGCGCCCCCUGGAGAGGGAAUCCGCUGGGAAGAACUACAAUAAGAUGCACAAACGGGAGCGGACCUGUAAGGAUUACAUCAAGGCCGUGGUGGAGGCUGUGGACAACCUGCUGCGGCCCGAGGCCUUGGAGUCGUGGCGGGACAUGAACGGCUCGGAGCAGGCGCACACGGCCACCAUGCUGCUGGAUGUGCUGGAGGAAGGAGCGUUCCUAUUGGCCGACAACGUCAAAGAGCCCGCCCGCUUCCUCGCCGCCCGCCAGA